rnacentral:rRNA from 1 species
AUGGGCAGGAAACCCUCGGCUUCCGCCGCCGCCGCCGCUGCCGCUGCGGCUGCCGACCACGACUCCACCGUUGCCAGCGCCAAGGCCGCCGAACUCCUAGCAGCAGCCGCUGACUGGGAGGGCAUCCAUGGGCACUCCAUGUUCUUCGACGCCCUCGUUCAGCUUAUACCCCCGCGCUUCUACCUCUCCGCCGACGAUGAUGUCCGCCCCUACUACCAGGGGCUCUCCAAGGCCGCCAAGGCGGCCAUGAAGGCUCAGUCCCGCGCCAAUAUCAAGGCUGCCCGCCGAGCCCGCCUCGACCCCGCGGGCCCGCCUUCCUCCACCCUGGACCUUCUCAAGAAGUCCGUCGCCGACCAAGAGGCGGAGGAGAAGAAGGAAGAGGAGGAGGAUAACUCAGAAGACGGAAGCCAGGAGUCCGACGACGAGGCAACCUCAGAGGGUGGCGACGAUGACCAGGACGAGGAGGAGGGAGAUGAAGAGGAGCAGGCAGAGGAUGAAAAGGAGGAGAUGCAGAUGGCCCCGGCAGCAGUUGUUUCUGAAGACCGGUCGGUGACUUACGAGGAGCUGCGAGAGCGGCUUCAUCGCCGCAUUACAGAGCUCCGUGGGAAUCGGUGCACCAGGCCAGAGUUCCUGAAUAAGCCUCAGAAGGAGAAGGGUAAGAAGGGAAAGGGUGCUAAAGUGAAGGGGAAGGAGGAGGGUACAAAGCGGAAGCGUGAGGAUGGCACCGCGGAUGCGGAGGGUAAGGAUGGGAAGAAGCACAAGAAGGAAGGGGAAGAGAAGGCACCAGAUAUCAUGUAUGGCAAUGUGCUGGUUGAUCCAAAGGAAGCAAGGCGGAGGAAGAAGAGGAGGAUCAAGAACAAGAAGAAGGAGCUGGAGCAGGCUAAGCGGAUGCAGAGGGCAAAGGAGGAUCCUAAAAAGGCCACCAAGAUGGCCUGGGAUGUGGCAACAAGGCGCGCAGCUGGGGAGAAGGUGCACGACAACCCCAAGUUGAUUAAAGAGAGCAUGAAGAAGGAUAAGAAGCGGCAGGAGAAGCACGCGGAGGAGUGGAAGGACAGGCAGAGGACAGUGGACAUCAAGAAGAAGCAGAAGCAGAAUAAGCGGAAGGAGAACAUCCAGGGGCGGGCACAGGAGAAGAAGGCGCGCAAAAUAGAGAAGCGUGAGAAGAAGCUUAUGCGCCCUGGUUUUGAGGGGCGCAAGGAAGGCUAUGUCAACGAGUGA